GCCAAGAGCCGCGGUUAAACCAAGAUGAUCAAAUUAUAUAUUUACGGUGAAAAAUAGUUAAACUUUAUAAAGUUUACUAAAUAUUUAUAAAAGAGUAAAAUCUGGAUAUAGAUAAAAAAUUUUACUUAGACUUAAAUGUUGAAGCUAUGAAAGCCUUGAGGGAAACUGGGAUUAGAUACCCCAUUAUUCUUGGACAUAAAGCAAUUAUAAUUUACCAGAGUACUAUGAAUUAACAGUUUAAAACUUAAAGGGCUUGGCGGUGUUUUAGACCUCUCAGGGGAACCUGUCUCAUAAUCGACAGUCCACGUUGAACCUGACCCUUUUUUGCAUUCAAUUUGUAUACCUUCGUCGCCAGGUAACUUUUUAGAAAGAAGAAGUUAGCAACUGAAUAUGAAUAAAUUUACACGUCAGAUCAAGGUGCAGUUAAUAAAAGGGGGAGGAUGGGUUACAAUUAUAGAAUCAUAACUACGAAAAAUUUUUUGAAAUAGAAUUACAGAAGGAGGACUUGAAAGUAAGGAUGUAAUAUAUAAACGUUCUGAAUCAGGCUCUGAAACGUGCACACAUCGCCCG
rnacentral:rRNA from 1 species